rnacentral:rRNA from 1 species
AUACGUAGGUGGCAAGCGUUAUCCGGAUUCACUGGGCGUAAAGCGCGUGCAGGCGGUUUCGUAAGUCGGACGUGAAAGCUCCUGGCUUAACUGGGAGAGGUCGUUCGAUACUGCGAGGCUUGAGGUCGGGAGAGGGACGUGGAAUUCCCGGUGUAGUGGUGGAAUGCGUAGAUAUCGGGAGGAACACCAGUGGCGAAGGCGACGUCCUGGCCCGCACCUGACGCUGAGACGCGAAAGCGUGGGUAGCGAACGGGAUUAGAUACCCCGGUAGUCCACGCCGUAAACGGUGGGUACUAGGUGUUGGUGGCUAUCGUCAUCAGUGCCGUAGCUAACGCGUUAAGUACCCCGCCUGGGGACUACGGCCGCAAGGCUAAA